GCUGCCGGCUAGCGAGAAGAGCAGAAAAAAGUACGUAUGUGACAGUGUGGAGGCCACAUCGUUGAUAGUGUUGCCGAACUGAAAGCUCCUGUAUGUACGACACCAUCCACAACCCGUUACGAUGCCUGUGCUAGUGUCCCGCUUAGUCACAGCAUGCUGUGUGAGGAUGAUCAAAUCUGGAUACUUCGCAGCUAGCCGUCACCUGCUGCCAUGCCAUGGCGUAAGAUUAUUCCGGGUGUCGUAAAUCAAUUAGCGUUUUCCGGAAGGAUUAGACUCGGUUACCAUGCUGCUGAAGUGGUACUAUCUGGAACAAAUAUGGGGUCAAGAGGACCGCGCCCUCAGCAUUUUUGCUUCGUCAUUCACGUUGGCGGUAGAUUUUGCCUGAAUUCAAGUUGUUCAAUACUUGCUUUUGCUGUAACCUUUUUUUAGUGAAUGAACGUAUUUUGUUGAA